UGAGGCUGCCGGACGGCCGCAUGCUUCGGCAUGAGGAAAGUCCGAGCUCCGUAGGGCAGGGUGCCGGGUAACGCCCGGUGGAGGCGACUCCAAGGAAAGUGCAACAGAAAGAGACCGCAUCCCGCUUGCGGGAUGUAAGGAUGGAAAGGCGAGGUAAGAGCUCACCCGCGGCUUGGCGACUUGUCCGCGAUGUAAACCCCACCCGGUGCAAGAUACAAUGGGAGCGCGUAUGGCGGCCCGUCAUGCUCUCUGGUUUUCGCUGGAGCCCGCUGGCAACCGCGGGCCUAGAUAGAUGGCCGUUCAAGACAGAACUCGGCUUACAGACAGCGCUCGCAAU
rnacentral:RNase_P_RNA from 1 species